rnacentral:rRNA from 1 species
AUGGCCGGCACCGGCGGCUUGUCGGAGUCGGUGAUGCGGAAGGUGCUGCUGUCCUACUGCUACGUGGCGGUGUGGAUCUUCCUCUCCUUCGCCGUCAUCGUCUACAACAAGUACAUCCUCGACCCCAAGAUGUACAACUGGCCCUUCCCCAUCUCGCUCACCAUGGUGCACAUGAGCUUCUGCUCCUCGCUCGCCGUGGGGCUCGUCCGCGUCCUGCGGGUCGUUGAGCCGCCCUCCUCCCCGCCCAUGACGCCGCAGCUCUACACCUCCUCCGUCGUGCCCAUCGGCGCGCUCUACGCCAUGUCGCUCUGGUUCUCCAACUCGGCAUACAUCUACCUCUCCGUCUCCUUCAUCCAGAUGCUCAAGGCGCUCAUGCCCGUCGCCGUCUACUCCAUCGGCGUCCUCUUCAAGAAGGAGACCUUCAGGUCAUCCUCCAUGCUCAACAUGCUCUCCAUCUCCUUCGGCGUCGCCAUCGCCGCCUACGGCGAGGCCAGGUUCGACCUCCGUGGCGUCGCGCUCCAGCUCGCCGCCGUCGCCUUCGAGGCCACCCGCCUCGUGCUCAUCCAGAUCCUGCUCACCUCCAAGGGCAUCUCGCUCAACCCCAUCACCUCGCUCUACUACGUCGCGCCCUGCUGCCUCUGCUUCCUGCUCGUGCCCUGGAUCUUCGUCGAGCUGCCCAGGCUGCGCGCCGUCGGCACCUUCCAGCCCGACUUCUUCAUCUUCGGCACAAACUCGCUCUGCGCCUUUGCGCUCAACCUUGCGGUGUUCCUGCUCGUUGGCAAGACCUCCGCGCUCACCAUGAAUGUUGCGGGAGUGGUCAAGGACUGGCUGUUGAUUGCCUUCUCCUGGUCCGUGAUCCGGGACACGGUCACCCCCAUCAACCUCUUCGGCUACGGCAUCGCCUUCUUAGGGGUUGGCUACUACAACCAUAUCAAGCUGCAGGCGCUCAAGGCCAAGGAGGCGCAGAAGAAGUCCGCGCAGGCCGACGAGGAGGCCGGCUCCCUGUUGCAGGAGCGCGAUAGCCACAGUGAUCGCAAGAGCGAGAACCAGGCAUAG